rnacentral:tRNA from 1 species
GCUUUUCGUUCAGUGGUAGAAUGCUCGCCUGCCACGCGGGGGCCCCGGGUUCGAUUCCCGGCAGAUGCA